ACCGGCGGACGGGUGCGUAACGCGUACACAACAUGCCCUUUAGCGGGGGAUAGCAUCGGGAAACUGAUGGUAAAACCCCAUGGUGUUGAAUGGUGGCAUCAUUAUUCAACUAAAGGUUACACUGAAGGAUUGGUGUGCGUAUGAUUAGCUAGUUGGUAGGGUAACGGCUUACCAAGGCGAUGAUCAUUAGGGGGUGUGAGAGCAUGACCCCCCACACGGGUACUGAGACACGGACCCGACUCCUACGGGAGGCAGCAGUAAGGAAUAUUGGACAAUGGAGGCAACUCUGAUCCAGCCAUGCCGCGUGAAGGACGAAGGCGCUCUGCGUUGUAAACUUCUUUUGUACNGGAACAAAACCCCCGAUGCGUCGGGGACUGAGGGUACUGUAAGAAUAAGCACCGGCUAACUCCGUGCCAGCAGCCGCGGUAAUACGGAGGGUGCAAGCGUUAUCCGGAAUCACUGGGUUUAAAGGGUGCGUAGGCGG
rnacentral:rRNA from 1 species